UCGGGAAUUUUGGGCAAUGGGCGAAAGCCUGACCCAGCAACGCCGCGUGAAGGAUGAAGUAUUUCGGUAUGUAAACUUCGAAAGAAUAGGAAGAAUAAAUGACGGUACUAUUUAUAAGGUCCGGCUAACUACGUGCCAGCAGCCGCGGUAAUACGUAGGGACCAAGCGUUGUUCGGAUUUACUGGGCGUAAAGGGCUCGUAGGCGGCCAACUAAGUCAGACGUGAAAUCCCUCGGCUUAACCGGGGAACUGCGUCUGAUACUGGAUGGCUUGAGGUUGGGAGAGGGAUGCGGAAUUCCAGGUGUAGCGGUGAAAUGCGUAGAUAUCUGGAGGAACACCGGUGGCGAAGGCGACAUCCUGGACCAAUUCUGACGCUGAGGAGCGAAAGCCAGGGGAGCAAACAGGAUUAGAUACCCCAGUAGUCCCUGAGCGGGCUGGCAAGGCGCAU
rnacentral:rRNA from 1 species